UGUAAUAUAGUGUACACUGCACGUAGGAUUUUGAUACCUAAAGAAGACCUCCUCUUAUUACAA
rnacentral:tRNA from 1 species